GUCCAUGGCCAUGCUACCCAGAACAAGCCCGAUCCUGUCUGAUCUCGGAAGCUAAGCAGGGUCGGGCCUGGUUAGUACUUGGAUGGGAGACCACCUAGGAAGACCAGAUACUGUAGGCU
rnacentral:rRNA from 1 species